rnacentral:lncRNA from 1 species
CUCGAUGGAAAGAACUCAAUUAGUACCAAACCUCUGUGCAGCAGCACUGGGUGCUGGAAGACCAUGUAACAAUGACUUUAACCCUUGAGUUCUCUAUCCGGUAAAACCACCAACUGAUAACAGGAGAAAGUGAAAAGAGAAUAGAGAGAGAGAUUAGCAUGAAAUAUUCUCAGUUAAAAGGAUUAUUUGCAGACAGAGGAAAACAUCCUUAUCUAUAGCUCCAAUCCUCAUCUCUUCAGAAACUGCUCCUGAAAAAGGCCUGAAAAUAACGUAGACAAAGUAAUUAGUGGAUGGAGUUAUCAGAAGAUUUCAAGAGAUUUUCCUAUUAUCAUGUUGGUUUUCAUGCAAGCAAUACAACCCUCAUCAUAUUUCCUCGUUCUUCUGAACAAUAGAAGAAGGAGAGAUGCUACACCUCUGUGCUUCCAAAAAUUUAGCCAAUGGAAAACAACAACGGACCUAAUUCAAAUGAGUAAUUCACCCUUUGGAUUUGGGUUGGAGAUAUCUGAAGUGAGUCAGAACUGAACAGAAGUCACUAUUUAGGACAUAUUUUCCCCAGAGUGUGAAACAGGAUUAGGAAAUCCUGAAUCAAUCCAAGUAACUGCAUGGAAAGCUUCAGCGUGGAUGUGGUGUAGGAGUAGCUUCCGGGAAUAGUCCUGCAGCCCACUGUGCUAACUGACCUGGCCUUGUGACAUGAAAGUGUGAGGCCAGGGGUUUUCCCUUCUCAAGGUGGGGAGAUUCUUUUGGCUGCAGUUCCCACACAUGCUCCAGAAGGAUACAGGGAGAAUAAGGAGCGAAAACAAGCAUUUGAUACCAGCAGAAACCAACAAUAAGGGAGUGCAGCAAGGAAGCUGGUGCCAGAUCCGAGAUCCCUCCUCUCGUCCCACCUCACUUGUGCUUUCUGCUCUCAUGAAGUCAUCACUGGGAAGCCAACACUGGCAGCAGGAGAGGGAUUAUCAAGCAUCUGAGUCCAAAUGUGUACCCAACAUGACUAAUAGGAUAAUUAUCUCUUCUCGUCACUUGGCUCAGGAAAAAAUGGAUAGCUGGUUGCCUGAAAUUCACGGAAAAACAAGAAAAGCAAAUAAGAUGCUGACCAUAUGCUUACAUUUUUCUGGAGAGGGGCUGGCUGUGAA